rnacentral:tRNA from 1 species
GGCGGCGUAGGCAAGCGGUCUAAGCCACCACCCUUUCACGGUGGUAAUCAGCGGGUUCGAAUCCCCUCGCCGUCACCA